CAAAGGUUUAAAAAUAAUAUCAGGAAGUAUUACUUUACUGAGAGGGUAGUGGUAAAGGUUAACACAGUUAUGGAGUUUAAGCAUGUGUGGGAUAGGCAUAAGACUCUCCUAGACUUAAGAUAAGGCCGGGGACUAAUGAAAGUAUUUAUAAAAUUGGGAAGACUAGAUGGGUCGAAUGGUUCUUUCUUAUCUGCCGUCACAUUUUAUGAAUUGGGCAUGUUUGACAUGUUAAUUAAUACAUAAAUGAGCUAAGCAUUACA